AAUGGGUCAGCGACUUAUAUUCUGUAGCAAGGUUAACCGAAUAGGGGAGCCGAAGGGAAACCGAGUCUUAACUGGGCGUUAAGUUGCAGGGUAUAGACCCGAAACCCGGUGAUCUAGCCAUGGGCAGGUUGAAGGUUGGGUAACACUAACUGGAGGACCGAACCGACUAAUGUUGAAAAAUUAGCGGAUGACUUGUGGCUGGGGGUGAAAGGCCAAUCAAACCGGGAGAUAGCUGGUUCUCCCCGAAAGCUAUUUAGGUAGCGCCUCGUGAAUUCAUCUCCGGGGGUAGAGCACUGUUUCGGCAAGGGGGUCAUCCCGACUUACCAACCCGAUGCAAACUGCGAAUACCGGAGAAUGUUAUCACGGGAGACACACGGCGGGUGCUAACGUCCGUCGUGAAGAGGGAAACAACCCAGACCGCCAGCUAAGGUCCCAAAGUCAUGGUUAAGUGGGAAACGAUGUGGGAAGGCCCAGACAGCCAGGAUGUUGGCUUAGAAGCAGCCAUCAUUUAAAGAAAGCGUAAUAGCUCACUGGUCGAGUCGGCCUGCGCGGAAGAUGUAACGGGGCUAAACCAUGCACCGAAGCUGCGGCAGCGACACUGUGUGUUGUUGGGUAGGGGAGCGUUCUGUAAGCCUGUGAAGGUGUGCUGUGAGGCAUGCUGGAGGUAUCAGAAGUGCGAAUGCUGACAUAAGUAACGAUAAAGCGGGUGAAAAGCCCGCUCGCCGGAAGACCAAGGGUUCCUGUCCAACGUUAAUCGGGGCAGGGUGAGUCGACCCCUAAGGCGAGGCCGAAAGGCGUAGUCGAUGGGAAACAGGUUAAUAUUCCUGUACUUGGUGUUACUGCGAAGGGGGGACGGAGAAGGCUAUGUUGGCCGGGCGACGGUUGUCCCGGUUUAAGCGUGUAGGCUGGUUUUCCAGGCAAAUCCGGAAAAUCAAGGCUGAGGCGUGAUGACGAGGCACUACGGUGCUGAAGCAACAAAUGCCCUGCUUCCAGGAAAAGCCUCUAAGCAUCAGGUAACAUCAAAUCGUACCCCAAACCGACACAGGUGGUCAGGUAGAGAAUACCAAGGCGCUUGAGAGAACUCGGGUGAAGGAACUAGGCAAAAUGGUGCCGUAACUUCGGGAGAAGGCACGCUGAUAUGUAGGUGAAGUCCCUCGCGGAUGGAGCUGAAAUCAGUCGAAGAUACCAGCUGGCUGCAACUGUUUAUUAAAAACACAGCACUGUGCAAACACGAAAGUGGACGUAUACGGUGUGACGCCUGCCCGGUGCCGGAAGGUUAAUUGAUGGGGUCAGCGCAAGCGAAGCUCUUGAUCGAAGCCCCGGUAAACGGCGGCCGUAACUAUAACGGUCCUAAGGUAGCGAAAUUCCUUGUCGGGUAAGUUCCGACCUGCACGAAUGGCGUAAUGAUGGCCAGGCUGUCUCCACCCGAGACUCAGUGAAAUUGAACUCGCUGUGAAGAUGCAGUGUACCCGCGGCAAGACGGAAAGACCCCGUGAACCUUUACUAUAGCUUGACACUGAACAUUGAGCCUUGAUGUGUAGGAUAGGUGGGAGGCUUUGAAGUGUGGACGCCAGUCUGCAUGGAGCCGACCUUGAAAUACCACCCUUUAAUGUUUGAUGUUCUAACGUGGACCCGUGAUCCGGGUUGCGGACAGUGUCUGGUGGGUAGUUUGACUGGGGCGGUCUCCUCCUAAAGAGUAACGGAGGAGCACGAAGGUUGGCUAAUCCUGGUCGGACAUCAGGAGGUUAGUGCAAUGGCAUAAGCCAGCUUGACUGCGAGCGUGACGGCGCGAGCAGGUGCGAAAGCAGGUCAUAGUGAUCCGGUGGUUCUGAAUGGAAGGGCCAUCGCUCAACGGAUAAAAGGUACUCCGGGGAUAACAGGCUGAUACCGCCCAAGAGUUCAUAUCGACGGCGGUGUUUGGCACCUCGAUGUCGGCUCAUCACAUCCUGGGGCUGAAGUAGGUCCCAAGGGUAUGGCUGUUCGCCAUUUAAAGUGGUACGCGAGCUGGGUUUAGAACGUCGUGAGACAGUUCGGUCCCUAUCUGCCGUGGGCGCUGGAGAACUGAGGGGGGCUGCUCCUAGUACGAGAGGACCGGAGUGGACGCAUCACUGGUGUUCGGGUUGUCAUGCCAAUGGCACUGCCCGGUAGCUAAAUGCGGAAGAGAUAAGUGCUGAAAGCAUCUAAGCACGAAACUUGCCCCGAGAUGAGUUCUCCCUGAC
rnacentral:rRNA from 1 species